GCACAGUAAACGAUGAAUACUUGUUCUUGGCGAUACAGUGUCAGGGGCAAAGCGAAAGCGAUAAGUAUUCCACCUGGGGAGUACGCCGGCAACGGUGAAACUCAAAGGAAUUGACGGGGGCCCGCACAAGCGGAGGAACAUGUGGUUUAAUUCGAUGCUACGCGAGGAACCUUACCCGGGCUUGAAAGUUACCGACGGCCGCCGAAAAGCGGCUUCUCUUCGGAGCGGGAAACUAGGUGCUGCAUGGUUGUCGUCAGCUCGUGCCGUGAGGUGUCGGCUUAAGUGCCAUAACGAGCGCAACCCUUUCCGGUAGUUACCAUCAUUCAGUUGGGGACUCUACCGGCACUGCCAUCGUAAGAUGUGAGGAAGGAUGGGAUGACGUCAAAUCAGCACGGCCCUUACGUCCGGGGCGACACACGUGUUACAAUGGUCAGGACAGAAAGCAGCAAUGUGGUGACACAAAGCGAAUCUCGAAACCUGAUCCCAGUUCGGAUUGGAGUCUGCAACCCGACUCCAUGAAGCUGGAUUCGCUAGUAAUCGCGCAUCAGCCAUGGCGCGGUGAAUACGUUCCCGGGCCUUGUACACACCGCCCGUCAAGCCAUGAAAGCCGGGGGUACCUGAAGCCUGGUGUAAAAAGCCGGUCUAGGGUAAAACUGGUAAUUGGGGCU
rnacentral:rRNA from 1 species